rnacentral:rRNA from 1 species
UCGAACGAGCGAGAGAGAGCUUGCUUUCUUGAGCGAGUGGCGAACGGGUGAGUAACGCGUGAGGAACCUGCCUCAAAGAGGGGGACAACAGUUGGAAACGACUGCUAAUACCGCAUAAGCCCACGGCUCGGCAUCGAGCAGAGGGAAAAGGAGCAAUCCGCUUUGAGAUGGCCUCGCGUCCGAUUAGCUAGUUGGUGAGGUAACGGCCCACCAAGGCAACGAUCGGUAGCCGGACUGAGAGGUUGAACGGCCACAUUGGGACUGAGACACGGCCCAGACUCCUACGGGAGGCAGCAGUGGGGAAUAUUGCACAAUGGGGGAAACCCUGAUGCAGCGACGCCGCGUGGAGGAAGAAGGUCUUCGGAUUGUAAACUCCUGUUGUUGAGGAAGAUAAUGACGGUACUCAACAAGGAAGUGACGGCUAACUACGUGCCAGCAGCCGCGGUAAAACGUAGGUCACAAGCGUUGUCCGGAAUUACUGGGUGUAAAGGGAGCGCAGGCGGGAAGACAAGUUGGAAGUGAAAUCCAUGGGCUCAACCCAUGAACUGCUUUCAAAACUGUUUUUCUUGAGUAGUGCAGAGGUAGGCGGAAUUCCCGGUGUAGCGGUGGAAUGCGUAGAUAUCGGGAGGACACCAGUGGCGAAGGCGGCCUACUGGGCACCA